rnacentral:rRNA from 1 species
UACGGAGGGGGCUAGCGUUGUUCGGAAUUACUGGGCGUAAAGCGCGCGUAGGCGGACCUGCAAGUCGGGGGUGAAAGCCCGAGGCUCAACCUCGGAACUGCCUUCGAUACUGCGGGUCUCGAGUCCGGGAGAGGUGAGUGGAAUUCCUAGUGUAGAGGUGAAAUUCGUAGAUAUUAGGAAGAACACCAGUGGCGAAGGCGGCUCACUGGCCCGGUACUGACGCUGAGGCGCGAAAGCGUGGGGAGCGAAACAGG